rnacentral:rRNA from 1 species
GAUGAACGCUGGCGGCGUGCUUAACACAUGCAAGUCGAACGGAAAGGCCAGUGCUUGCACUGGUACUCGAGUGGCGAACGGGUGAGUAACACGUGGGUGAUCUGCCCUGCACUUCGGGAUAAGCCUGGGAAACUGGGUCUAAUACCGGAUAGGACCACAUUUUGGAUGGUGUGGUGGAAAGUUUUUCGGUGUGGGAUGAGCUCGCGGCCUAUCAGCUUGUUGGUGGGGUAAUGGCCUACCAAGGCGUCGACGGGUAGCCGGCCUGAGAGGGUGUCCGGCGACAUUGGGACUGAGAUACGGCCCAGACUCCUACGGGAGGCAGCAGUGGGGAAUAUUGCACAAUGGGCGCAAGCCUGAUGCAGCGACGCCGCGUGGGGGAUGACGGCCUUCGGGUUGUAAACUCCUUUCGCUAGGGACGAAGCGUAUUUGUGACGGUACCUGGAGAAGAAGCACCGGCUAACUACGUGCCAGCCGCCGCCGUAA